CGGCUAACAAGUCCGCCUCCCCAACCGGAAAGGAAAAUCCGCUCGGCCCGCCUCGUAGCACAAUUUUGUUACAUGUUGAAUCCAAAUCAGCGCCUCUAAACUCUGCACCCUUCGCACCCCCCCUUGGCGCGGCCCUGGGUGCUACUCACGCUAUAUGUAGCACUAUCACUAGCUAUAGCCGCAAAAUGAAUCAUCAGGUGGCCAUUGCGUAUGCUUAACAUUGUUUCAUUUUUAUUGAACGCCAAUCCGAGGCUAUAAACGAUAUCAAAGGGGCUUUUUUACAGCCCAAUAAACAGUGGGACUCCCCUAAAGCCCAUCCAUGUACAUAGCAAUUCAGAU